UUGAAAGGGAAACGAUUGAAGUCAGUCGUACCGACGAGAAAUCAGCUUAUCGUGUGUUAACUUGUGGGCGUGCGUGAGUUUCGGCCUCGCUGUUUGCAUGUUUGUGCGCUUUGGGUGUACUUUUUCGUAUGGUAGGCCAACAUCAGUUUCGAAUACCAUAAAAUGACCGGCGGAAUGUAGCUUCGAUCUCGUAUUGAAGUGUUAUAGCCUCUGGUAGAUGUGGUGUUUGGGACUGAGGAUUGCAACGAAUAUCCUUUGGGCUAUCCGUCUGAUCUCUGAAAGUUGCUUGGGUGCUGAAAGCUUGCUUAUGGUUAUCUAGGUUAACGGUCAAUAGGUUAGAACGUGAUUACAUUCGUUAAGGAUGUUGACGUA
rnacentral:rRNA from 1 species